AGGUUUGUGGGUGACACUGAAACUUCUUCCAGGAGACAUACAUCAGAUACGGAAAGAAUUUCCUCACCUAGUUGAUAGAACCACAGCUGUGGCCCGGAAAAUGGGCUUUCCAGAGAUUAUUAUGCCUGGUGAUGUCCGUAAUGAUAUUUAUGUAACAUUAGUUCAAGGAGAUUUUGACAAAGGGAACAAAACUACAGCAAAGAAUGUGGAAGUUACAGUAUCUGUUUAUGAUGAAGAUGG